rnacentral:rRNA from 1 species
UAGGGAAUGUUAGAAAUGGACAAAAGUCUGAUCUAGCAACACCGCGUGUGCGAAGAAGGCCUUCGGGUUGUAAAGCACUUUUUGGAAGGAUUAGGAAGGAAUGUACUUCCAGAAUAAGUCUCGGCUAACUACGUGCCAGCAGCCGCGGUAACACGUAGGAGGCAAACGUUAUCCGGAUUUACUGGGCGUAAAGCGCGUGUAGGUGGUUCUGUAAGUAGGGCGUGAAAGCUCCUGGCUCAACUGGGAGAGGCCGUUCUAAACUGCAGAGCUAGAGGAUGGUAGAGGGAGGUGGAAUUCCGGGUGUAGCGGUGGAAUGCGCAGAUAUCCGGAGGAACACCAGUGGCGAAAGCGUCCUCCUGGACCAUUCCUGACACUCAGACGCGAAAGCUAGGGUAGCAAACGG